rnacentral:rRNA from 1 species
UGGGGAAUAUUGGACAAUGGGCGAAAGCCUGAUCCAGCCAUGCCGCGUGUGUGAAGAAGGUCUUCGGAUUGUAACGCACUUUAAGUUGGGAGGAAGGGCAGUAAGCGAAUACCUUGCUGUUUUGACGUUACCGACAGAAUAAGCACCGGCUAACUCUGUGCCAGCAGCCGCGGUAAUACAGAGGGUGCAAGCGUUAAUCGGAAUUACUGGGCGUAAAGCGCGCGUAGGUGGUUCGUUAAGUUGAAUGUGAAAGCCCCGGGCUCAACCUGGGAACUGCAUCCAAAACUGGCGAGCUAGAGUAGGGCAGAGGGUGGUGGAAUUUCCUGGGUAGCGGUGAAAUGCGUAGAUAUAGGAAGGAACACCAGUGGCGAAGGCGACCACCUGGGCUCAUACUGACACUGAGGUGCGAAAGCGUGGGGAGCAAACAGG